UGGGGAAUAUUGCACAAUGGGCGAAAGCCUGAUGCAGCAACGCCGCGUGAGCGAUGAAGGCCUUCGGGUCGUAAAGCUCUGUCCUCAAGGAAGAUAAUGACGGUACUUGAGGAGGAAGCCCCGGCUAACUACGUGCCAGCAGCCGCGGUAAUACGUAGGGGGCUAGCGUUAUCCGGAAUUACUGGGCGUAAAGGGUGCGUAGGUGGUUUCUUAAGUCAGAGGUGAAAGGCUACGGCUCAACCGUAGUAAGCCUUUGAAACUGGGGAACUUGAGUGCAGGAGAGGAGAGUGGAAUUCCUAGUGU
rnacentral:rRNA from 1 species